GAGUAAUGUCUGGGAAACUGCCUGAUGGAGGGGGGAUAACUACUGGAAACGGUAGCUAAUACCGCAUAACGUCGAAAGACCAAAGAGGGGGACCUUCGGGCCUCUUGCCAUCGGAUGUGCCCAGAUGGGAUUAGCUUGUUGGUGGGGUAAUGGCUCACCAAGGCGACGAUCCCUAGCUGGUCUGAGAGGAUGACCAGCCACACUGGAACUGAGACACGGUCCAGACUCCUACGGGAGGCAGCAUG
rnacentral:rRNA from 1 species